rnacentral:rRNA from 1 species
UACGUAGGGUGCGAGCGUUAAUCGGAAUUACUGGGCGUAAAGUGUGCGCAGGCGGCUUGGCAAGUCGAGUGUGAAAUCCCUCGGCUUAACCGGGGAACUGCCUGUCAAACUGCAUGGCUUGAGACCGGGAGAGGUGAGUGGAAUUCCCAGUGUAGCGGUGAAAUGCGUAGAUAUUGGGAGGAACACCAGUGGCGAAGGCGGCUCACUGGACCGGUACUGACGCUGAGGCGCGAAAGCGUGGGGAGCGAACAGG